rnacentral:rRNA from 1 species
UACGUAGGGUGCAAGCGUUAUCCGGAAUUAUUGAGCGUAAAGAGCUCGUAGGCGGUUUGUCACGUCUGCUGUGAAAACUGGAGGCUCAACCUCCAGCCUGCAGUGGGUACGGGCAGACUAGAGUACGGAAGAGGCGAGUGGAAUUCCUGGUGUAGCGGUGGAAUGCGCAGAUAUCAGGAGGAACACCAAUAGCGAAGGCAGCUCGCUGGGACGUUACUGACACUAAGGCGCGAAAGCGUGGGGAGCGAACAGG